GAUGAACGCUGGCGGCGUGCCUAAUACAUGCAAGUCGAGCGAAUGGAUUAAGAGCUUGCUCUUAUGAAGUUAGCGGCGGACGGGUGAGUAACACGUGGGUAACCUGCCCAUAAGACUGGGAUAACUCCGGGAAACCGGGGCUAAUACCGGAUAACACUUUGAACCGCAUGGUUCGAAAUUGAAAGGCGGCUUCGGCUGUCACUUAUGGAUGGACCCGCGUCGCAUUAGCUAGUUGGUGAGGUAACGGCUCACCAAGGCAACGAUGCGUAGCCGGCCUGAGAGGGGGGUGGGCCACACUGGGACUGAGACACGGCCCAGACUCCUACGGGAGGCAGCAUUAGGGAAUCUUCGGCAAUGGACGAAAGUCUGACGGAGCAACGCCGCGUGAGUGAUGAAGGCUUUCGGGUCGUAAAACUCUGUUGUUAGGGAAGAACAAGUGCUAGUUGAAUAAGCUGGCACCUUGACGGUACCUAACCAGAAAGCCACGGCUAACUACGUGCCAGCCGCCGCAGUAA
rnacentral:rRNA from 1 species